AUAAUCAAACAUUAAGCAAGCUCAAUUAAAUUUUAUUGAAGUUAUAAAAGAAACACAAGGAAAUCCUAAAGAAAUAUAAAAGAAUAUUAAAGAAAACUUAGUCAAAUCCUAAUAAAAAUCUAAAUAAAUCUUAAAUUCUAAUCAAACCCUAAUCUUAAUCCAAUCUUAAUCAAACCCUAGAUAAACCCUAAAUCCUAAAUAUAUCCUAGUCAAAUCUUACACAAAUCCUAACUCUAACAAAUCCUAAUCAAUUUCAAACCCUAAACAAACCUUAGUCAAAUCCUAGUCAAAUCCUAACUCUAAAUCC
rnacentral:lncRNA from 1 species